rnacentral:rRNA from 1 species
GUGGUGGGAUCGGUCUAAGCCAUGCGAGUCAUUGUAGCAAUACAAGGCAGACGGCUCAGUAACGCGUAGUCAACCUAACCUAUGGACGGGAAUAAUCUCGGGAAACUGAGAAUAAUGCCCGAUAGAACACUAUAUCUGGAAUGGUUUGUGUUCCAAAUGAUUUAUCGCCAUAGGAUGGGACUGCGGCCUAUCAGUUUGUUGGUGAGGUAAUGGCCCACCAAGACUAUUACAGGUACGGGCUCUGAGAGGAGUAGCCCGGAGAUGGGUACUGAGACACGGACCCAGGCCCUAUGGGGCGCAGCAGGCGAGAAAACUUUGCAAUGUGCGAAAGCACGACAAGGUUAAUCCGAGUGGUUUCUGCUAAAGGAACCUUUUGUCGGUCCUAGAAACACCGAUGAAUAAGGGGUGGGCAAGUUCUGGUGUCAGCCGCCGCGGUAAAACCAGCACCUCAAGUGGUCAGGAUGAUUAUUGGGCCUAAAGCAUCCGUAGCCGGCUCUGUAAGUUUUCGGUUAAAUCUGUACGCUUAACGUACAGGCUGCCGGGAAUACUGCAUAGCUAGGGAGUGGGAGAGGUAGACGGUACUCGGUAGGAAGGGGUAAAAUCCUUUGAUCUAUUGAUGACCACCUGUGGCGAAGGCGGUCUACCAGAACACGUCCGACGGUGAGGGAUGAAAGCUGGGGGAGCAAACCGGAUUAGAUACCCGGGUAGUCCCAGCUGUAAACUAUGCAAACUCAGUGAUGCAUUGGCUUGUGGCCAAUGCAGUGCUGCAGGGAAGCCGUUAAGUUUGCCGCCUGGGAAGUACGUACGCAAGUAUGAAACUUAAAGGAAUUGGCGGGGGAGCACCACAAGGGGUGAAGCCUGCGGUUCAAUUGGAGUCAACGCCGGA